CUAUAGACCAAAUAAGAACCUGCAAAAAAAGUUUAAUUCAAAAAUGUUUAAAUUUGUGCAACUAGUUUAGAAAUUUUACAAUAUGAGGGUUUUCUUUAUUUCAGGAACUUUUAACUACUUUUUUUUUUUUGGUGAGAUGAGAGAUUGCCUUUAUUGCCACAUUUUAGAACCUCCAGUGUACAGCAGAACCAGGAAGUAUAAGUGAGAACGAAAGCAGGGUAAAAGAGAAAGAGAAGAACAAACAGAAUAGAAUUUCUGACCGUUGAUGUUACUUAUUCCAAGGGCUGAGGUAAGACACUCCAGAAGUUCUGAUUUUAUGAGAUUCUCAUGAACUCAAUAUGAGUAUAAACUAGUGAGAUAUGUCUAAUGUAGACUUUGAUGGAGGUAAAAACAAAUUCAGAUUCAAAGGCAAUCCCCCCUCUAAGAAAUAAAACAUUUUAUCUUGUAGAUGUUAAUAAAAGUGCUCAUAAGAAUUUUCAUUUUUGUCACACACAACUAAAACAGCAAUAGGUAAAUUCGUGUUUUGUAAAGUAUGUAUGAUUUAAGGGCACUUUCUGACAGGUAGCCUGUCGUGGAAUUGGGGCACACACCAGCUCUUCAAUUCUUACAGUACAAUUUGAACAAUAAGUAAGAGUUUGGUUCACUUUACUGCUACUACUCCCUUUCCUACCAUGUACCAUUUUCUCAGUAAAAAAUUUCCCAUAACGCUUUGCUCUUUUUGGUUUUGAUGUUGUAAACUUUGGCUAGAAAGUGUUAGGCAAUGGCCCUGCCAGUGCUGGGGAGAAUUCACAGAUGAAAACCGAAACCUCCUUGCUCCAAAACCCAAGAAAGUCAUUCUGAAAAGGCCUACAAACACUUCACCUUAGCAACACAGCUCUGUAUGCAAAAUGCCCCUCUGAAGGAGUUUUCACUGUGAAGACAUUCUCUACUUUUUUUAGGAUGUGAUUUACUUUCUCCACUUCAUGUAUAUGAAGUUAAGAAAGAAAAAGUGCAGUCAAAAUAAGUGUUUGUGUUGCUAUAGGAUAUAUUUAUACAGUGUAUAUAAGUAAGAUGUUCUGUCUUAAUAUAGGGCAAAGAAAUAUAUGUUUCUUUUUUAUGAGUUAGGUUUCAGAAAGUACAACCAAAUGAAAGAAGAUGGGGGUGGAACCCAAUAUAAAUGCAAAGCUAGAAUAAAAAAGAACCACCUACAAAAAUCUUUCCUUAAAAAGCACUCAUUCCUUAAGAAGAUGCAACUCAUGUAGGCUCACACACAGACUUACUACCUACCCACUGUGACCCAAGAAUGGCUUCUUCCAGAGAGCAUCUUCAGCCCAUGAGGUUUAAAACCAAAAGCAUGUUACAUGACUUUUAGAUAUCAUUUGCAAUACUAAGUAUUUAACAGAAGAAGAGGUGUUGGGAGCAUAUGAUUCUAUUCCCAAGGGUUACCUUCUCGGAGGUUCAUUUGAGAAUCAACAGUCAGAGCAAGACAAGAUAAUUCCUAAAUAGCUCACAUGUUAACCUUUCCAUUUGCAGACUCCCUAGCAUGUUGCAUGAGUAGAAUAUCCGUGGCUCCUUAGCAUCAAAUGGUAGAAAUACCUUCCAGUCACUGCGGCUUCUCAAGCUCCUUGGACAAUGAUGUUGCCCUGUGUGGGAAUUAUUUCAUAAAUGGGCUGAUAUGAAUUACAGAUUUUUCCCCUGACUGAUGACAGUGCUUCUCUAAGCCCAAGGUCUUUCUGCAAGGAGAUCCUUCCACCUCUGAAGAGUGGCUAGUUGGGAAACCCUCCUCCCGGCUUCCCAACUUCCAGUGUCUGUCUGAACCAGUGCCUGUAUCAGAUUUAUCAUCUGAGACUCUGACACUGAAGGUGAACAGAAGGGACAGAAUGGGAGAGAAUAAAUACCAUCUUUGGAUUUUGUUUGAACCACAGAAAGCAAACAUAUACUGUGCUGACAGCCAAGAAGGAUGACUCUGCAUUUUAGAUAGAACACAGUGUGCCACUCUGGUCCAGAUGUGACUACAGACAGAAUAUUGCCGGAGCUGCCCUUGUUUGCCAGAAAACCAGUACAGAAGCAAAGACUGCACCCACGUAUGGCAAGAACAUAAGGGAGGAUGCUUUCAGUCUACACUUGACCGUGAGUAACUGAAACAGAAGACGGAACUGCAAGGGGAGUCCCUUCCCCAUGAGUCCUGGGCUUUCUGCCAGCAUCAGCGAGCUCGCUUUCCCACAGGCUCCUGCCUCAGGCCCUGUCCCACCUUGUUCACUUGUCUCUACUCUGGGAGCAGGUCCUUAGAUGUUUGGCUCUCCUCCAUCUGCUCUGACUGCCACAGGACGUCUGUUCCACGACUGCUGCUGUUAUUUUCUUGUCCCAGAACGACAGCUGUAAAGUUCAUGGCUCUAUUUCUUCUCACUUCAGCAGCCUCCCUAGUGACUUUUCUCUGAACUGCGGUGCUCAAUCUUUGAAAGGAGUUGUAUGUGUUUAAAUGUUCCCUCUCCCUACCUUCUCCAUACCUUGUGGCUGGAACUGGGACUGUUAACACUCAGUGAAUCCUGCAUUAUGGUUUAUAUCUAGAUGUCCCCCUCAAAGCUCAUGUGACCAUAGGUGAAGCUUUGGGAAGGUAAUUGGAUUAUGGAGCUGAUAGCUGGCUUGCUGUUAGGAGGUGGGGGUUACCUCAGUCAUGACCUAGCAGGUUUUUACCUCUCCCCAACUCCCGUCAUCCCUCACUCUCUGUCUCUGUCUGUCUGUCUGUCUGUCUGUCUCUCCUUCUUGCCUGUCAUGCCAUACAUUGGAAGAAGCCAACACGGACUGAAACUCUACAAACUAUGAGACAAAAUAAACUUUUCCACCUUCAAACUACAGGUGUCAGAUUUGAGUCCCAGGGCUGAAGAAAGUGACUAAGACUUUUGGCUGGUUUGCACAUUGGGGCUUUCUAAGGAAAAGCCUGAAACUUUGAUUCUGUCACUGUGAGGCAAGAUAGUCACACUGCCUAAGAUCCACAGAUAGGGUUUCUCUUCAUAGCCCUUCUCGGAGUGAUAGACAUUUCCUUUUGCUUGGCAGAUGCCCGUCAUUGACACUCUGCAUGGUCACGUCCUUCUUUAAAAUUGUGCAACAUGCUCCUUCCUUCCUCUUUCUACUGCUGUCUGGGCAUCCUGCAGAGAACGGCCAGCCCAAACGCUUUGACGCUGCCACCGUGCAAGAAGUAACAAAUCCUCAGUUCAGUAGGUGUAAGGCAUUUGUUGCACUUCAGUGUCUCCCAAGAAAACUGUUCUGCUCUCUGCUUACAUGUGGUGAAAUAAACUUAUCGGUACAAACACCAGUUUAGUGAUGAAGUCACGCUGUGCUGCUUUAGGUUAUGUAAAUUUUAAGUCUAGACCUAAGAACACUAAAGUCAAGCAAAUAUAUACUAUGUAUGCUAAAUUCAGUGGGCUCAGACUAAGUGGUAUAGGAAAAGAAGUUAUUUAAAUUAAAAACAAAACAAUUAAAACAUAUUUCUGAAAGGUUAUUAGAUUCCAGUGAUCAAUCUGGCUUUCUCUCUCUAUUUUUUGGUUUUUUUUUAGGUAUUGGGCAUUGAACUCAGGAUCUCCACACUAAACUACAUCACUAGUCUUUGUUCAUUGUUUUGUUUUGCUUUGUUUUGUUUUUAAAACAAGGUUUAGUACGUCACUAAACGGUCCAGGCUUGCCUAGAACUUGUGAACUUCCUAUUUCAGUCUCCUGGAGUGCUGAGAUUACAGUUAUAUUCCCUUAUACACAUCUUAAUCUGGCAAUUAUUUUUAACCUCAUAAAUAUUCACCAAAAAAGUUACACUAUACACUGGAUGUGCAAAGAGUGUGGCAUCUGUACUUAGCCAGUGUUUGAAGGUUCUUUCGCCUAUGUACCUUGACUUUUAAAUUGACUCUUGAAGAGUGUUUUCUAUAUUUACUUGUUCUUUUUGAUUAUAACAAAUGACUGACAGCUCUAAAAUUCAUAAUGUAAAUUCACAUCAAGUAAUUUGGGGCUAGAAACAUCUAUAUAGGAAGGGAGAGUUAAUAGUAUACAAGUUCAAUAACAGAGAUGCUUUUCAAAGAAAUCUAGACAUUGUUAUACAGUGUAAAGAAGACCAGUUAUUUACAACACAGUGCAAAAGAAAAUAAAAGUAAACCAAUGUUAGUCUGCAUAAAUUCCAAAUGAGAUAAUAUUAUUUCCCCUAUUUAAUGUCACAGAAAUUGCUAUUCCAAUUAGUUAAAGUAAAAUCCUCUUGAUUAUUAUUCUGGCUUGACCACUAGAUGACAAUUUAAUUCUGAAUAAGUUUCUUGAGAGAUCUCUGAAUCAGUUUCAUUUCAGUAAAAAUGAUAGUGGUAAAAUGUAUUUAAAACUCUUUGAUAUAGAUUAAAUGAGAUUGUAUCAUAGAGAAAAUGAUUUCACAUUUUUUUGUUAUGUUUCACAUAGCAAAAAUGUUUUCAUUUUAUUAUUUUGCUAUUGUAAGUUAUUUAACUAUAUAUCAAAACAAGAAUAAAAUUAUAAUUGCAAACAAA